rnacentral:lncRNA from 1 species
AAACCCUAAAAACGCCUGAGGGGGAGAAGCUGAUAACGAAAAUAAAAAGAAGCAUCAAUACGCUUCUCCGCCGCGUUCGUUCCUUCAUUCUUUCUCACACAAACUCUCUCCCUCUCUCUCUCUCAGGUAACGCUUCUUCAAUUUUGUCUCUUUCAUUUCAAAUACUCCUUUCUCAUCUCACUCCUCUGGUUACGUAGCCUCCGCCAUUGAUCGUUUGCGUCUAUUGUGCAGCCCUACUAACAACCAUCCUAGCUUUUACCGCGAAAGAUUCCGAGAGUGAUGUUGAGCUUGAGGCCAGGAGGAGGUCGUGGAGGAAGCAUCUUCGCCCCACGCUCUGCCUUGUCUUCCUCUUCCUCCUCUGAUCUUACCAAUGCCGAAGACGCUCCUUCUUUUGCCGUUAAGGUUGUUCAUUCGUUUGCUCUUCUUCUAGAACUUUUAGCUGUAAAUUCGAUUCCGUUUUUUAUUUCUCUCGUUUUGGAUUGAAUCUGAGUUUUGGAAUCUGAGACACAACAAUGCAAUGUCCUAAUUCUUGGUGGGGCGCUUAAGCAAUGCGGCCUUGCUGUAAAUAUGCACAGAGAUUGAUUACUUUUUAGGUGGGCACUCUUUAAGUUCUUUGAUGCUCAUAAAGGACCCUACGUACAUGUUAUUGAUUUGAGAACACAUGCGUGUUGAGUCUAGCCAUGUUUUUAAUUCUGAAGUUGACGUUUUAAUGGAUUUUUUUUUGUUUUGUAGAGAGGAGACUCGAGNN